UACGUAGGGGUGCGAGCGUUAAUCGGAAUUACUGGGCGUAAAGCGUGCGCAGGCGGUUUUGUAAGCCAGGUGUGAAAUCCCCGGGCUCAACCUGGGAAUGGCAUUUGGGACUGCAAGGCUGGAGUGCGGCAGAGGAGAGUGGAAUUCCUGGUGUAGCGGUGAAAUGCGCAGAUAUCAGGAAGAACACCCGUGGCUAAGGCGGCUCUCUAGUACGGUACUGACGCUGAGACGCGGAAGCGUGGGGAGCGAACAGG
rnacentral:rRNA from 1 species